GCAGGAUCAAGGCUGCGAUGCUCGUUCCGCACAGGACUACCAGUCUUCUUUUACGAGCGGGCCAAGGUCUGAGUACUCCAACCCCCUCGAUCUGUCCUAGCAGGACAUGGUUGUAACCAACCAAGCGACUUAUCAGAGAACCACUGCAUUACUUCGAUGUCCCAAAGAUCUCUGCUCGCUGUGGAGGGAGGGUCAAUUUGGUGUAUUUGGAACUUGUCGCGGGGGUCGGGUGAUCUCUCUAGUCCCAAUAGACUUCCACUGGCAUGAGGGCGUGGUCACAGACCGCAACGAUAUGGUGGGGAGUCGUAAACGACAACCCAUUAUUUUGAGCUGUACAAUGAUUAGACUCUGCGUCGUCAAUGUCACAGCUUUCGUUUGCUCAAUCCUUGGCACACCCGCUCAACCCCGGGUCCAUGGAGUCGCGCACAGGGAAGGCCUCUGGUGGCACUUGACGAGGUUACCUUUUAGCUCACUUCGCAGCUCACUACAGUGUUUUUGCUUAUCUGAGCUCAACCACCAGUGGAACUCGAUUCAGACUACUCUAUGUCUGC
rnacentral:RNase_P_RNA from 1 species